ACUACUGACCGCUGCGGCCUUUGCCGUCGCGAUGAUGACUACCUCCACUUUCGCCUCCGAGGCUCCGCUCGCGAAGUGUUGCGCUGCGGCGAAGAAAGCGGGCAAGGAAUGCGCCCACCCCUGCUGCGUCGCGGCGAAGAAGGACGACGCGGCAUGCCAGAAAUGCCCGCCCGCAGAAGGCGAAAAGAAGCCCUCCUAGGCUCACGGCUCGUUCAGUAGCUAAAGGGCCACUCAUGCGAGUGGCCCUUUUGGUUUUCGACCGCGGAGAAACUGCUAAGAUCCCCGGGACGAGGUCAGCGCAACCGCACUGCUAUCUGCUGAUGCGCGAAGCGCGCUUCGUGCGACGAUGCUGCGAAGAUCUUUAGCAUCGCGAGUGGGUCACGAACAUCCAAGUUGCCCGGCGCACCUCGCCGCGCCCUCAAUCCCAGAUCUCGCCGAAAGCGCGCUUGAAGUUCGCGCCAAGAAUCUUCUCGACCGCAGUCGCCUUGUAGCCGC
rnacentral:misc_RNA from 1 species